UGCGUAGGCGGUUUGGUAAGUCUGAUGUGAAAUCUAUGGGCUCAACUCAUAGUCUGCAUCGGAAACUGCCGGGCUUGAGUGUGGGAGAGGUGAGUGGAAUUUCCGGUGUAGCGGUGAAAUGCGUAGAUAUCGGAAGGAACACCUGUGGCGAAAGCGGCUCACUGGACCACAACCGACGCUGAUGCACGAAAGCUAGGGGAGCAAACAGGAUUAGAUACCCUGGUAGUCCUAGCCCUAAACGAUGACUGCUUGGUGUGACGGGUACCCAAUCCCGCCGUGCCGUAGCUAACGCGUUAAGCAGUCCGCCUGGGGAGUACGGUCGCAAGGCUGAA
rnacentral:rRNA from 1 species